rnacentral:rRNA from 1 species
UACCUACGGGGCGCAGCAGUGAGGAAUAUUGGUCAAUGGGCGGGAGCCUGAACCAGCCAAGUCGCGUGAGGGAAGACGGUCCUAUGGAUUGUAAACCUCUUUUGUCGGGGAGCAAAGAGAUCACGUGUGGUCAAAAGCGAGAGUACCCGAAGAAAAAGCAUCGGCUAACUCCGUGCCAGCAGCCGCGGUAAUACGGAGGAUGCGAGCGUUAUCCGGAUUUAUUGGGUUUAAAGGGUGCGCAGGCGGAUUUUUAAGUCAGCGGUCAAAUCGUGGGGCUCAACCCCAUCCAGCCGUUGAAACUGGGG